rnacentral:rRNA from 1 species
UACGUAGGUGGCAAGCGUUAUCCGGAAUUAUUGGGCGUAAAGCGCGCGCAGGCGGUUUCUUAAGUCUGAUGUGAAAGCCCACGGCUCAACCGUGGAGGGUCAUUGGAAACUGGGGAACUUGAGUGCAGAAGAGAAAAGCGGAAUUCCACGUGUAGCGGUGAAAUGCGUAGAGAUGUGGAGGAACACCAGUGGCGAAGGCGGCUUUUUGGUCUGUAACGUGACGCUGAGGCGCGAAAGCGUGGGGAGCAAACAGG